ensembl:snRNA U1 U1 spliceosomal RNA
ACACUUACCUGGCAGGGGAGAUACUAUGAUUUUGAAGUUGGUUUUCCCUGGGCAAGGUUAAUCCAUUGCACUCUGGAUGUACUGAUCCCUUCAAUUUCCAUAAAUUCAGGAAACUUGACAGAAUAAUUUAUGAUGGGUUGUGUUCACACUUUCCUCAU